GUAAAAUCUAGUUAAAUUUUGUGAGUACUUUCCAUCGAAGCUCAAGAGGAUUCUUACUAUUUUACUGACAUCAGUGACUGCCAAGCCCCCAGUACCAGUCUUGCCUCCAUCCACGAGAAGAGGACAGACAUCAGAGUAUUGGAACUGUUUGCCUUUACCAGAAAGGAACCUUGGUCCUGCCCCCACCAGGAGAGGAAGAGACUCCUGCUAUACCUACCAGAAGAAAGGAUGGGAAGAAGACAAUAUAAAAGCACUUUCAACAAUAGAAAAUACCAGCGGAGACUAGGGACCCUACACCAGCAAGACCUGAACAUCACAAUGCAGAUGAAGCAGAAGAAGAUGACCUGA
rnacentral:lncRNA from 1 species